AGUAUAAUCAGCUAAACAAGCUUUCGGGCCCAUACCCCUAAAAUGGAGGUUAAACUCCUUCUUUUACUC
rnacentral:tRNA from 1 species